rnacentral:rRNA from 1 species
UUCCAGACUCCUACGGGAGGCAGCAGUGAGGAAUAUUGGUCAAUGGCCGAGAGGCUGAACCAGCCAAGUCGCGUGAGGGAAGAAUGUCCUAUGGAUUGUAAACCUCUUUUGUCAGGGAGCAAAGUCACCCACGUGUGGGUGUUGGAGAGUACCUGAAGAAAAAGCAUCGGCUAACUCCGUGCCAGCAGCCGCGGUAAUACGGAGGAUGCGAGCGUUAUCCGGAUUUAUUGGGUUUAAAGGGUGCGUAGGCGGGUUAUCAAGUCGGCGGUAAAAUCGCGGGGCUCAACCUCGCUCCGCCGUUGAAACUGGCAGUCUCGAGUUGGAGAGAAGUAUGCGGAAUGCGCGGUGUAGCGGUGAAAUGCAUAGAUAUCGCGCAGAACUCCGAUUGCGAAGGCAGCAUGCCGGCUCCACACUGACGCUGAGGCACGAAAGCGUGGGUAUCGAACAGGAUUAGAUACCCGAGUA